UAGAUAAUCCAAUAAGAUAUUCCGACUAGCGCGUGGGUAAAGACGAGAGUGAGGAAGCGACGCGUGGAGGCGCGUAGGGAUUUGUACGGUGGUGGGAUGGCAAAAUCGUCAAAAAGGAGAAACGCGUUUGCGUCACAUAAUUUCUCAUACGUCGGGAAAAAUCCAAAGAUUAAGGACGUUCGUGGAACCUCCCAAUAUCCUCUGACGAUCUGACACAUGUCUUUGUUCCCUUUUAAUUUAUUUAUUUUUUUGUUUUAAUAUUGAAACAAGAUGAUGCGAUAAUGGAUACAAAAAUUGUGACUUGCAUGGAAAAUAUCUGUGUUUUGGUACAAGAGAAGAGACAAACUAUAUAAAUAGUGAAACAAAUACUUUAGUAACCUUUUCUUUUUAUCUUCUUUGCGUUUUCAAAAGAAGUAAAAGAGUAAAAAAGAUGUAAAAGCAUGGAAUUGUCUUCCCCUUUAUAGAGGUGGCAUCUCCUAUCUAUCACUUAAUUAGUCGGAGUUAAUUUAUGUACAAACUUGAGGAACAUCUUUUCAAAUACAGAUUUAUUUCAGAGGAGUACCAUGUUCAUUCACUUUGUCAGUACCCUUUUUUGGUCUUAAAAGAGGAGCUAAAGCCAAAAACUAAUGUAAAUUAGUGGCAUAAAGAUAAAAGCAAGCAAGCAACUUCGGUGAAGCUGCCUUAGAUAGUUAUGCUCGUGGCAACUACGAUGAGGAUUCCAGUUCUUCGGUACUGUGGCAACCACGCAAAUUUCCGAGCUUCGCGGGUUCGGAAUCGGUGUUUCUCCUUGCAACUUGGCCUUGACCGCUUAGCAGUGAUCUUUUGCAAUUUGAGUUGUAAUGUUGUUUUUUAUAUCUCUGUAGAUUGCUUUAAUCUGUUUCAAGUUUUCCCUGUAAUUCUGUCAAAAAUUAAAAUGGUAUAAAAUUUCACCUUUUACCAAAAAAAAAAAAAAAAAAA